rnacentral:rRNA from 1 species
UACGUAGGGUGCAAGCGUUAAUCGGAAUUACUGGGCGUAAAGCGUGCGCAGGCGGUUUUGUAAGUCUGACGUGAAAUCCCCGGGCUCAACCUGGGAAUUGCGUUGGAGACUGCAAGGCUAGAAUCUGGCAGAGGGGGGGUAGAAUUCCACGUGUAGCAGUGAAAUGCGUAGAGAUGUGGAGGAACACCGAUGGCGAAGGCAGCCCCCUGGGUCAAGAUUGACGCUCAUGCACGAAAGGCGUGGGGAGCAAAC